AAAUGAAUUGACGGGGACCCGCACAAGCAGUGGAGUAUGUGGUUUAAUUCGACGCAACGCGAAGAACCUUACCAGGGCUUGACAUCCCCCGCAAUUCGUAGAGAUACGAAGUUCCCUUCGGGGACGGGGAGACAGGUGGUGCAUGGUUGUCGUCAGCUCGUGUCGUGAGAUGUUCGGUUAAGUCCGGCAACGAGCGCAACCCCUGUUGUCAUUUGCCAUCAUUAAGUUGGGUACUAUGGCGAGACUGCCGUUGAAGAAACGGAGGAAGGUGGGGACGACGUCAAAUCAUCAUGCCCCUUAUGUUCUGGGCUACACACGUACUACAAUGGUCGUAACAGCGGGCAGCCACACCGCGAGGUGGAGCGAAUCCCAAAAAACGAUCUCAGUUCGGAUUGCAGGCUGCAACUCGCCUGCAUGAAGUCGGAAUUGCUAGUAAUGGCAGGUCAGCAUACUGCCGUGAAUACGUUCCCGGGUCUUGUACACACCGCCCGU
rnacentral:rRNA from 1 species